AGCGAACGCUGGCGGCAGGCCUAACACAUGCAAGUCGAACGAACCUUUCGGGGUUAGUGGCGGACGGGUGAGUAACACGUGGGAACGUGCCUUUAGGUUCGGUAUAACUCAGUGAAACUUGUGCUAAUACCGAAUGUGCCCUUCGGGGGAAAGAUUAAUCGCCUUUAGAGCGGCCCGCGUCUGAUUAGCUAGUUGGUUGAGGUAAUGGCUCACCAAGGCGACGAUCAGUAGCUGGUCUGAGAGGAUGAUCAGCCACAUUGGGACUGAGACACGGCCCAAACUCCUACGGGAGGGAGCAGUGGGGAAUCUUGCGCAAUGGGCGAAAGCCUGACGAAGCCAUGCCGCGUGAAUGAUGAAGGUCUUAGGAUUGUAAAAUUCUUUCACCGGGGACGAUAAUGACGGUACCCGGAGAAGAAGCCCCGGCUAACUUCGUG
rnacentral:rRNA from 1 species